rnacentral:rRNA from 1 species
UACGAACCGAGCGAACGUUGUUCGGAAUCACUGGGCUUAAAGGGCGCGUAGGCGGGCAUCUUAGUCUGUGGUGAAAUCCGGCAGCUUAACUGUCGAAUUGCCAUGGAUACUGGAUGUCUCGAGGGAGGCAGGGGUGCGCGGAACUAAUGGUGGAGCGGUGAAAUGCGUUGAUAUCAUUAGGAACUCCGGUGGCGAAGGCGGCGCACUGGUCCUUUUCUGACGCUGAGGCGCGAAAGCCAGGGGAGCAAACGGG